GUCGAACGUGAAAGCACUUCGGUGUGAGUAGAGUGGCGGACGGGUGAGUAACGCGUAGGAAUCUACCCAGUAGUGGGGGAUAGCCCGGGGAAACUCGGAUUAAUACCGCAUAAGCUCUUAGGAGGAAAGCGGGGGAUCUUCGGACCUCGUGCCAAUAGAUGAGCCUGCGUAAGAUUAGCUAGAUGGUGGGGUAAUGGCCUACCAUGGCGACGAUCUUUAGCUGGUCUGAGAGGAUGAUCAGCCACACUGGGACUGAGACACGGCCCAGACUCCUACGGGAGGCAGCAGUGGGGAAUAUUGCACAAUGGGCGCAAGCCUGAUGCAGCCAUGCCGCGUGUGUGAAGAAGGCCUUAGGGUUGUAAAGCACUUUCAGUGGGGAGGAAAGGUUAUAAGUUAAUACCUUGUAGCUGUGACGUUACCCACAGAAGAAGGACCGGCUAAUUCCGUGCCAGCAGCCGCGGUAAUACGGAAGGUCCGAGCGUUAAUCGGAAUUACUGGGCGUAAAGCGCACGUAGGCGGCUAGGUCAGUUGGGUGUGAAAGCCCCGGGCUCAACCUGGGAACUGCAUCCAAUACUGCCUGGCUAGAGUACGAGAGAGGGGGGUAGAAUUUCUAGUGUAGCGGUGAAAUGCGUAGAUAUUA
rnacentral:rRNA from 1 species